rnacentral:rRNA from 1 species
AGAGUUUGAUCAUGGCUCAGGACGAACGCUGGCGGCGUGCUUAACACAUGCAAGUCGAGCGGUAAGGCCCUUUCGGGGGUACACGAGCGGCGAACGGGUGAGUAACACGUGGGUGACCUGCCCUCAGCUCUGGGAUAAGCCCGGGAAACUGGGUCUAAUACCGGAUAGGACCUCUCAACGCAUGUUGGGUGGUGGAAAGUUUUUUCGGCUGAGGAUGGGCCCGCGGCCUAUCAGCUUGUUGGUGGGGUAAUGGCCUACCAAGGCGGUGACGGGUAGCCGGCCUGAGAGGGCGACCGGCCACACUGGGACUGAGACACGGCCCAGACUCCUACGGGAGGCAGCAGUGGGGAAUAUUGCGCAAUGGGCGGAAGCCUGACGCAGCGACGCCGCGUGGGGGAUGACGGCCUUCGGGUUGUAAACCUCUUUCGCCAGGGACGAAGCCUUCGGGUGACGGUACCUGGAUAAGAAGCACCGGCCAACUACGUGCCAGCAGCCGCGGUAAUAC